rnacentral:rRNA from 1 species
ACGCUCGACACCUACGGGAUGCAGCAGUGGGGGAUAUUGCACAAUGGGGGAAACCCUGAUGCAGCAACGCCGCGUGAAGGAAGAAGGUCUUCGGAUUGUAAACUUCUGUCCUCAGGGAAGAUAAUGACGGUACCUGAGGAGGAAGCUCCGGCUAACUACGUGCCAGUAGCCGCGGUAAUCUGAGCGGGCUGGCAAGGC